GACGAACGCUGGCGGCGUGCUUAACACAUGCAAGUCGAACGAAGUGGCGAACGGGUGAGUAAUACGUGGGUAACCUGCCCUCCUUUUUGGGAUAAGCCUUGGAAACGGGGUCUAAUACCGAAUAAUGGGGGGUGGGCUCGCGGCCUAUCAGCUUGUUGGUGGGGUGAUGGACUACCAAGGAGGUGACGGGUAGCCGGCCUGAGAGGGAGACCGGCCACAUUGGGACUGGGAUACGGCCCAGACGCCUACGGGGGGCGGCGGUUGGGGAUAUUGCACAAUGGGCGAAAGCCUGAUGCAGCGACGCUGCGUGGGGGAUGAAGGCGUUGGGGUUGUAAACCUCUAUCGCUACCGAACGGGUAGGUGGAGAGUAAGCGCCGGCUAACUACGUGCCAGCAGCCGCGGUAAUAC
rnacentral:rRNA from 1 species